UCCUCAAGUCCUUUUAGUCCAGAAGAAGGGGGCUGCCAAUAAGCCAUGGCACUGACGUUCUUCAUCAGUUUCUUAAUGGUCUUCCCUGCAAACAUUGUCUCCCAAGUUACCCUCACUGAAUCUGGGGGUGGCAUGAAGAAGCCAGGGGAAACUCUGCAUCUGACCUGUACAGUCUCUGGAUUUUCUGUGACUGACAGCAGCUACGCAGUCUGCUUGAUUCGUCAGUUCUUAGGAAAGACCUUGGAAUGGAUUGCAGAAAUCUGGGGUAGUGGAAGCACUUACUACAACAGCGCUCUCCGAAGCAGGGUCUCCAUCAGCAAGGACACAUCAAAAAGUCAAGUGGUCUUUCAGCUGAGUGGCUUGAAGCCCGAAGACACAGCUGUGUAUUACUGUGCACGACACACAGUGAGGAAAUCCUUUAAAGACAUAAAACAAAAACCGUUCUUUCUUUAAAUAAUACAUUAGUCAUUCAAGGGUUUGUGGGCA